rnacentral:tRNA from 1 species
CAUGAUGUAGCUUAAAUCUUAAAGCAUCUGGCCUACACCCAGAAGACUUCACAACAAUGGACAUCAUGA